rnacentral:lncRNA from 2 species
CUCGCCGGCGAACGCGUCGGCCCUGUCAGCGGCGCCGGCGACGCGUACGCGCGGUGGGACGCGGCGGUGGGGUGCCGGGCGCUCGCGGAGAACUACCGGCCGUGGUCGCCCGACCCAGCGGCGCUGCAGCACGACAGCACGUACGUGGUUGGUUGGUUGGCUUCUUUUCGGUUUGUUCGUUCCUUGUGGUUGAGAGUGAGUGAGGUGGAGGAGAGAGAGGAGGAAGAGGAGGGGAUUCAUUCACGUGGUUUCCGGAGAGAGCAGGAGCCAACGUGCGGCUUGACUCUGGAGAUCUCUCUCUCUCUCUCUCAAGCCCAAAUCAGAAGCGUCGAGGUCGUGAGAGGGAGAGGAAUCGACGGAGAGAGAGAGGCGGCGGCAGGAAAAGGUGGAGAAGUCAAGAAACAAGAACCCAAUCACCAUUGA